GCUAUCCACAUCAGCUGACAGGUCACAUAUUCAAAUGCUAUACGCGCGACACCUGUCCCAGACGACUGAAACUCACCGUUUCAUUUAUUCCUCUUCUGAUGGGCUUUUUAAUUCACGUUUUAUGGCACGUUUUCUAUAUGCUUAAAGGGCCUGAAUAGAAAAUGUAUUGGGCCUUGCAUCUCUAAACCUAAAGUUGUCUCUCUUAUGGUCUCGAAGUCAAGGUUCUCACCGUCGUCCUAAUCAUGGUCAUGCUACCGCCAUGGAUUCACAGUCGUGUUCUGUUAGUCGAUUGAGUACCAGCGUACCCUAAUUGAACGCAAACCGGUAUUUUAUUGAAUUCUCUCUACUGCCGUCAGAAAAAUUUGGAUACGUUACAGCAAGUCGGUUGAAUUCACGCCAUCAUUAACAACAACUUUCCACUUCUCAACACGAUCAAAGUCGGUUGAAUUCACGCCAUCAUUAACAACAACUUUCCACUUCUCAACACGAUCUGUCAUUGAAUGCAUCCCCAUUACUUCUAUUGCGUGAAUCUUCAAGUAUAAAUAGGUAACUCUUUCAUCAGUUCAAUCCAAUCCUCUCAGAAGCAUGCUAUCUAGAUCCGCUCUAUAUCCACAAAGAAGCCGCACAGCUUACUUCGUAGUCACCAACUCGCACCUACUCAGCCUCCCACAGUUUGAUUUCUCUUCAGCUCUGCGGUUAAAUUUAGCAAAUGUCAUAUGACAAGCGGAUAGCACGGUUUCUCAGCUUAAAGCUAUUUCAGAGCAACUUGCUUCAGCAAAGCAUUUGGAGGUUCUUCAGGUGUCUCUACCUGCAAAUGUCCAAACUGAAAUCGAGCAGAUUGGAGAGAUACUGAAUUCUUCUAUAGCUCCAAUGACAUAAGAGACGUUCUCAAUUCCGUGUAAGAACAACCCAUCUGUUACGAAUCCUUAUGUUAAAUCUUGAAAACAGUGUAACAGGUCAUCUUCUUUAUUGCAGAAGGGUGGCGCUUAUCACAGUUUCAAUCCUUAUGCUUACCUCUUUACAAUUCUUGGUCUCGGUAAGUCACAAAUCUGCAUCUUUUGUAAUGUUUUAAGGUUUUGAAAGAUGAGCUUCUGUAUAUCUCCUGCAAUCUUCCACUACAUGUUUCUCAACUGUAUGUAUAACUCAUGAUCUUAUCUAAUCAUCUACUCUUGCAGUUUCUUCAAUUUUUGGGAUACAUCUCAUUGUCUACACGAACAAUAACCCUGGAAUGUUCUUUUUGUACUUUUUAUAAGUAAGAACUAUUUGAAUCUUUUCCUCUUCCGCAGCCGUAUGAUUCUUGGAUGGUGUUGGUGACUGAUGAUUCUGGUACAUUCAUCUUGAGCAGAGCAUUCCUUCUGUUACAAAAAUAUGUCUCAUGAUUCUUCAUGAAUUUCUUCUUUAUCGUUCAAAUUUGUUAAUGUGUUUGGUUGAGCAUUAGUGAAACUGCAGGCAGAUGUAUAGCUGAGCAAAUAACUGAAGUGCUUAUAAAUUUGGAAACAUGACCAUGCAUCCUCUGCACACGUGACCUGCAAGCCUUUUAAAAUAUGUUAACAGAUCACUUCUUCUCUAAUUCAAAUUGUGCUUACAAAAAAAUUCACCAGUAUUAUAUACAGUAAAUCAGUUUAGUGGGAUACAAAAAAAAUUCCACCAGUUUCAGAUUUUCUAUUUUGAAAUAAUUUUAGUUAAAAUGAAUAAGUUAUUUCUUUUGCAUCGUCUAAAUCAUUAAUUUUAAGAAAAACUGUAUAAAGAAAAAGAAAAAAAAAACAGUUUAUUUCAUGAACAAAUCUAAGAGACAGAAGUAAGUUCAUUUUACUUAAUAUUUAUAACGUGAUUAGACCGUAGUGUUUUAAAAAUAUUAUUUUACUUAUUUUUAUUAAAGUGAAAUAAACAUUGAGAGUAUCUAAAAAAUAUAUUAUAAUAUUAUAAUAAC